AGUCGGCUGCACCCAGGGACCCGUGAAAAGGCCGCUAAAUGUCCGUACCAAGAUCUGACACUGGUGCCCCUAGCUGAAAAGGCUAAGGCGUGUCGGAGUACUUCAGUUAAGGGAAUUCGGCAAAUUAGCUCCGUAACUUCGGGAUAAGGAGUGCCUGCUGUGAAGACAGCAGGUCGCAGUGACCAGGGGGCUCUAACUGUCUAAUACCAACAUAGGAGAUUGCAAACCCGUAAGGGCUAGUACAAUCUCUGAAUCCUGCUCAGUGCAGGUACCUGAAACCCCGUUUCAACGGGAAGAAGGGCCUGUAAACAGCGGGGGUAACUAUGACCCUCUUAAGGUAGCGUAGUACCUUGUCGCUUAAUUGGCGACUUGCAUGAAUGGAUCAAUGAGAGCCCUACUGUCCCUAACUGGAAUCCGGUGAAGCUUACAUUCUAGUGCACAGUCUAGAGACCUCUAGGGGGAAGUGAAGACCCCGUGGAGCUUUACUGCAGCCUGUCGCUGGGUUGUGGUUCUGGAUGUACAGAGUAGGUAGGAGGCAUCGAAGCGGGUGCGCCAGCAUCCGUGGAGCCGCAAUUGGGACACUACCCUUCUGGGACUACGACCCUAACUCUGCGAAGAGGACCCCGAUAGGUGGGCAGUUUGCCUGGGGCGGGACGCCCUUGAAAAGAUAUCAAGGGCGCGCAAUGGUUGACUCAAGUGGGUCGGAAACUCACUGAAGAGUGCAAGAGCAUAAGUCAGCCUGACGUUAUUCAGCACAGCAGUGGAUGACGAGACGAAAGUCGGCUCUAGCGAACUUUUGAGCCUCCUUGGUGGGGGCCAAAAAUGACAGAAAAGUUACCCCGGGGAUAAUUGAGUCGUUGCCGGCAAGAGUACAUAUCGACCCGGCAGCUUGCUACCUCGAUGUCGGUUCUUUCCAUCCUGGCCGUGCAGCAGCGGCCAAGGGUGAGGUUGUUCGCCUAUUAAAGGAGAUCGUGAGCUGGGUUUAGACCGUCGUGAGACAGGUCGGUUACUAUCUACUAGAGGUGCACGAGGUCUGCGGGUAAGCUGCUUUUAGUACGAGAGGAACCAAGCAGCGGCGCCACUGGUGUACCGGUUGUCUGACAAGGCAUAGCCGGGCAGCUACGCGCCAAGGAAUAAGAGCUGAAUGCAUCUAAGCUCGAACUCUGACCUAAAAAGAGACCUCAUUAAGGAUUCCGGUAAAAGACCGGUUUGAUAGAAACGGGAUGUAAGCACCAAGGCAACGAGGUGUUCAGUCCGCGUUCACUAACCAUCCGUUCCUUUCCU
rnacentral:rRNA from 1 species